UACGUAGGGGGCAAGCGUUGUCCGGAAUCAUUGGGCGUAAAGAGCGCGUAGGCGGUCCGGUAAGUCCGCUGUGAAAGUCAAGGGCUCAACCCUUGAAUGCCGGUGGAUACUGUCGGGCUAGAGUCCGGAAGAGGCGAGUGGAAUUCCUGGUGUAGCGGUGAAAUGCGCAGAUAUCAGGAAGAACACCCGUGGCGAAAGCGGCUCUCUGGAACGGUACUGACGCUGAGACGCGAAAGCGUGGGGAGCGAACAGG
rnacentral:rRNA from 1 species